UACGUAGGGUGCAAGCGUUAAUCGGAAUUACUGGGCGUAAAGCGUGCGCAGGCGGUCGAUGAUAAGACAGAUGUGAAAUCCCCGGGCUUAACCUGGGAACUGCAUUUGUGACUGGCGGACUCGAGUAUGGCAGAGGGGGGUAGAAUUCCACGUGUAGCAGUGAAAUGCGUAGAGAUGUGGAGGAAUACCGAUGGCGAAGGCAGCCCCCUGGGCCAAUACUGAC
rnacentral:rRNA from 1 species